AAUGGAUUACUAUGGAUGACGUAGGCCGGUACAAUUUUCGCCCCCGGUACAAUUUUUAACGUGACAGCACCAAAUCCUAUGGCCCCAAAAUCUGUGUAUCUUCCGUUCAAUCCAUAUCCGUUUGGAAAUCAAAACACGAAAAACGAAAAGUGACUUUUUAAAAAAUCAUCCUCGUUGGGAUAGCUUGACCAGAAAUUCAUCACAUGUAUUUCUCUUUUAAAACAUGUAUACCGGUGUAAUAGUCUCUGUAUGAGCUUUUACCAAUAAUAAAGUCGAGAGAACAGUUUGGGAAAGCUGAGCGGUAGGGAAACCGCCUCCCCUCUGCCGCGUUCCCUCUUUGAAAUGAAGGGAGGCGACGAGCUGCAGCGCGGUGGAGGCGCGGAAACUCGCAAUAAUAUCAUAUUCCAACCUAAAUGGUUGUGCCGAUUGCCAAACAACUGAUGGGCCCAUGAGUUAACAAUAAUUAAUAACAUUAGCACACUUACCAGAUGUGGAGGUCUGUGGACUGUGUGUAGUAGACCAUCUUCAUUUUGUGUCUGCAGUUUUUGCAUUUCACUUUUCUUUGCAGCAACCUUUUCUUUUGCAACCAUGUUAUCAACUUGAAUGAUGUUUUUUUUCACUCCUUGACAUUCACUUUUCUCAAAAGUGUUCCCACAAGCGAAGCCAUAGCAGGAAAUAACUGAUGUUACUGGCCCCGAUUUGAAAAUCUGGCACACUUUUCUGUUAUUAGUUCAAUAUGUGGAGGUACGCUUGAUUUUUACAUCUAAACACCUCCCACCGCAAAGGUUGGGCUGAUUCCCUGGUUGUUGCCUGACUCAAUCAUAAUAAUCAAGCGCUUCUACCGUCCGAUUGGCUAAGCCGCACCGCCAACUCUGUGCCGUUGAAAGAAGCUAUUAGUCCGCGCAAAAUAAAUUGGAUCUUGUCGCUAUGUACCAGCAUAUGAUUUUCCAUCAGUUAAGUUCGGCGUUGCCUGGAAAUAUGAUGGAAAGGCCUGAGCGCUCUACCCGGGCAAAAGGACAGCGGGGGAAUGAAGGAGAAAGCUCCGAUAUGCCUACUGCUGUUAGUAAUAUCGAAAAUUUUCAACCACACAAAGUGCAAUGGAAGAAAAGGUCGGAAGAGCUGCAGUCCCGAAUCAAUGAGCUGGAGG